CCAUCCCCUCCCUUUGGAAAAGUUCACCUGAACUGAAUAUAUCCUUAAUCAACUGUAUUCUCACCUUUUUAUAAAAUGUAGCACACAAUAAGCUGUGAGCAAGUGACACAAUGUACCUUCUAUCACACCAAAGAUGAAAGGCAGUGCUCCACUGUUAAUAGUUAACUUUUAAAUUGUGACUUCUGAAUUUAGCUUGCUUACUUUCACAGUGCAUCUGGAUGUUCUGUACCACUCAGCCCUCCCUAGUUGUGCUUCCUGGCAGAACCACAACAGUGGAGAAUCCUGACAAAUUCUCGUGUGUGGAGGUCUGCAAGGCUUUUCUUUGACAUGUGCUUAACCAAGCAGAGCUCAGUGAUCUCUGUUCUUUUCACUUAAGGCUAAGGUAAGCCAUCGGGGAAAUGACACCUUGGAGACAAAGUCGUUCUGAAAAAUCAGCCCUGACAGAGAUGAGCAAAGUGACAAACCCAGAGGCAACUCUGAAGUCAGCAGCUCUACUGCUUGUGAAGUCUGCCAAGAAGCAUAACGUGCCCAGAGAACUCUAGAGAGGAUGAAGAAGUGAUGCCAGAAGCAGAAGGGGAGGAGGACACAGGAGUAGACAAUGGAAAAAGAGGAAAUUUGCUUCACUGGAGAAGACUGUGAAAAGGUUAUGGUUAGGAAUUUUGUUUUGUGUGUUAUUCUGCUCAUCUUCUCUGUACCUAUCUGCAACUCACUUUCAGAGAACAAAGGUUUAAUUUUACUGGUUUUCCAGGUGAGGGCUUGAGCCUUUAUUUUACUAUCAAACUCCCUUAAAUACAAAAAUAUCCCUUGUUUCUGUCAACUGAGUUCUGGCAGAACGAUUAUACUUAUUUAUUUAUGAGAGAUCAUCCCUAAAGUAAAAGAUAACACAAGUUUUGUCUUGCUUUUAUCCAAGCUUGUUCUUAUCUUCAUGAUACUGAAGAACAGAAUGCAAUUUUGAUGGUUUACAUUUUUAACUCUCAGUGUUAACCAUAUUAACUAAGAGACAAUAAAUCCCUGCUGCAAAAUAGAGGUAUAAGUUCCAACCAACCACAGCCCCCUUCUCAAAUCAGCAGACCAUCUGUUUCAAACAGCCAUCAUGUCAUUAAAUCCUUUAAAUUCCCAAUUCUAACUUUAACACUAACUUUAUCCCUUACACAGGCCUAGAAGUUCUAACCUGUCAUGUUGGCAUAUCUGGUAGCAACUCCAGUUCACGCUCAUUCAGUUUAAAAAUGUAAGGAAUUUUUCACCAGAAACUGUACAAAUUCAACCUUCAACAUACAGACAGCAACAACCACGUAUCCAAUUUGCAGCCACAUCACAGCCCUGCUUUUGGAGCUGAGUAAGGUUGCGCAGUGCAGCUGCAUCCAACCACUCCAGCUUUCCUAUGUCAACUGGAGAGG